GUGUCGUGAUAUCCUCAACCUUUCUUGGUUUUAACCAAAGAAAGGCUUGGACUUUGGGGGUUUCUUUGCUGNCNUUAUAUUUGAAGCCAGCUCNUCCUAAAUAAAUUAGUGGGGUUCGCUUUGCUAAUCCUUGAUGUGAUAAUUUUUUUUACAUCUUGGGUUUUGCACUGUUAUCCUGCUCCUAAUCAUCUUGCAAAAGAUAAUAUUUAUAAACCUUUGACCUCAAAUCGGGUGAGACUACCCGCUGAACUUAAGCAUAUCAAUAAGCGGAGGAAAAGAAACUAACAAGGAUUCCCCUAGUAACUGCGAGUGAAGCGGGAAAAGCUCAAAUUUAAAAUCUGAUGGUCUUUGGCCAUCCGAGUUGUAAUUUAGAGAAGCGUCUUCCGCGCUGGACUAUGCACAAGUCUCCUGGAAUGGAGCGUCAUAGAGGGUGAGAAUCCCGUCUUUGGCAUAGAUUACCAGGGCUUCUGUGAUGCGCUCUCAAAGAGUCGAGUUGUUUGGGAAUGCAGCUCAAAAUGGGUGGUGAACUCCAUCUAAAGCUAAAUAUUGGCGAGAGACCGAUAGCGAACAAGUACCGUGAGGGAAAGAUGAAAAGCACUUUGGAAAGAGAGUGAAACAGUACGUGAAAUUGUUGAAAGGGAAACGCUUAAAGUCAGUCGCAUCACCUGAGACUCAGCCUUGCCUUGGCUUGGUGUACUUCUCAGCUGAUGGGUCAACAUCAAUUUUGAUCCUUAGAUAAUGGCAAGGGAAAUGUGGCACCUUUUACAGGUGUGUUAUAGUCCUCUGUCGGAUGUGAGGGUUGGGAUUGAGGAACUCAGCAUGCACCUUUGGUGUCGGGGCUAUUAGCCUACGUUACAUGCUUAGGAUGUUGGCAUAAUGGCUUUAAACGACCCGUCUUGAAACACGGACCAAGGAGUCUAACAUACCCGCGAGUGUUUGGGUGGAAAACCCAUGUGCGUAAUGAAAGUAAAAGUUGGGACCUCUCUCAUAGGAGGGCACCGACGCCCGGACCAGACCUUCUGUGACGGCUCUGCGGUAGAGCGUGUAUGUUGGGACCCGAAAGAUGGUGAACUAUGCCUGAAUAGGGUGAAGUCAGAGGAAACUCUGGUGGAGGCUCGUAGCGAUUCUGACGU
rnacentral:rRNA from 1 species